UAGAUGCGAGAGUAGAGCAUAUCAAUAAGCGGAGGAAAAGAAACUAACAAGGAUUCCCUUAGUAACGGCGAGUGAAGCGGGAAGAGCUCAAAUUUGAAAUCUUCAAGGUUCUACCUUGACGAAUCGUAGUUUAAAGAAGUGUUUUCUGUUAGAUGAGUAGCAAAAGUUCCUUGGAAUGGGACAUCAUAGAGGGUGAGAAUCCGUAUUUGGUUAUUCAUUCUAGCUUUGUGAUACACUUUCAAAGAGUCGGAUUGUUUGGGAAUGCAGUCCAAAAUGGGUGGUAAAUUUCAUCUAAAGCUAAAUAUUGGCGAGAGACCGAUAGCGAACAAGUACCGUGAGGGAAAGAUGAAAAGAACUUUGAAAAGAGAGUUAAACAGUACGUGAAAUUGUCAAAAGGGAAGCGUUUGACACCAGUGUUGUUUUUCCGAAAAUCAAUUACGAAUGGCUUGAUUUUGUGUUGUAUUGACCUUAUCAGCUUUCUUCACUUUUUUCGAGUCUUUCUUAAUGCACUUUUCGGUUAACAAGUCAACAUCAAUUUCUUUUGUUGUAAAAGAGUAUUCGGAAGGUGGCUUUCUUUUCGGAGAAAGUGUUUAUAGCCCUAUACUUCUACAAUCGGAGAGAUUGAGGUCUGCAGCGUAGAUCCUUCGGGGUUAGAUACACUUGUGCUAAGUUGUAGCUUUUCAUAGACAACUUGUUGACUAUGUUUAGUCAUGCGGCUUACUCGCUUAUGCUAUUUUACCUACGCUUAGGAUGUUGAGCGCAUGUCUCUCUCU
rnacentral:rRNA from 1 species